rnacentral:rRNA from 1 species
GACGAACGCUGGCGGCGUGCUUAACACAUGCAAGUCGAACGGGCCUGUCUUCUUUUUUGGGGGUGGGUUGAGUGGCGAACGGGUGAGUAUCACGUGAGUAACCUGCCCUUCGGUCCUGGAUAACCGCUUGAAAGGGCGGCUAAUACGGGGUGGUCCGGUUGGUCCGCAUGGGCUGGUCGGGAUAGAUUCACUGUUUUUGGUGUUUCGGCGGGGGAUGGGCUCGCGGCCUAUCAGCUUGUUGGUGGGGUGAUGGCCUACCAAGGCGGUGACGGGUAGCCGGCCUGAGAGGGUGGGCGGCCACACUGGGACUGAGAUACGGCCCAGACUCCUGCGGGAGGCAGCAGUGGGGGGUAUUGCACAAUGGGCGGAAGCCUGAUGCAGCGACGUCGCGUGAGAGAUGGAGGCCUUCGGGUUGUGAACCUCUGUUUCCGGUGGUGAAGGCCCUGUCCGUGUGGUGGGGUUGACGGUAGCCGGGGAUGAAGCGCCGGCUAACUACGUG